rnacentral:rRNA from 1 species
GACGGAGGAUGCAAGUGUUAUCCGGAAUCACUGGGCGUAAAGCGUCUGUAGGUUGUUUAAAAAGUCUGCAGUUAAAGGUUGAAGCUUAACUUCAAAAAUGCCGUAGAAACUUUUAAACUAGAGGAUGGUAGGGUAGAGGGAAUUUCCAGUGGAGCGGUGAAAUGCGUAGAGAUCGGAAAAGAACACCAACGGCGAAAGCACUCUGCUGGGCCGACACUGACACUGAGAGACGAAAGCUAGGGGAGCGAAUGGG